GGAGCCGAUUUGGAGAAGGAGGUGGUGUGUGUGUGUGUGUGUGUGUGUGUGUGUGUGUGUGUGUUUGAGUUGGCUAGAGCCAGCUAAGAGGAGUCUGCUGGAGAGGCGGCCAAAUAGACACUUUGGAAAUCGCCACUCCUUUGGGAUUGUGCAGCCUCCUUACAACCCCCAAAUAAUGUUCCUCAAAGACUUUGAUGGUCUCUUUUGAGUGAGAGGGACAAAGUGGACAUCCCCUGGCUGGCAUUCAGGCUCUUGCCAUCUGUCCUGUUUGUCUUGGUUGAGACUUUCUCAGUCUCUUCCUGUCUGUCCUCUCCAGCCCCAGAAUUCAGAAGGACCACAUUGCUGCUCUCAGCUCCCUUCCCAGCUGCCAUCUUGCUGCUUUCAGGUGACUCCAGUGGAUGCUGCCACACACAUCUGAUGUCCCUCUGGCAUCCUAACUCUCAGGCUACUAACUACUAGGAGAUUGCUGUCUGCUGAGGGCCAGAAGCUGAGCCCCUCCUCAGGAAUGGUCAGUGAGCUGACAGAAGCCUCUUGCACAGUUUCUCUCUGUCUUUGUUUCUUCCCUCAGGGUCAGCCAAGUCCAACGGGCAGAUGCAGGUUGGGGAGCCCUAGACAGCUCUGGGUGGCAUCAUGCUCUUGGAGUAACAACUUUGACAGCUCUAUCACAUGAGGUUCCUCUUUCUGGCCAAUGCUGGGACACUACAGCGCUGGGCAGCAACACCAC
rnacentral:lncRNA from 1 species